GGGAGGGUAACAUACAGACACAAUUCAGAGGGGUAUUAGAGGGGUAUUAGAGAGAGAGAGAGAUAAUGGGGCUGAUUUAGGGAAUCUGAUACUAAAGUGCAAGUAGCCAAUAGCAAUUAAUCACUAGUUAGAUUUAAUCAGUUGAAUAUUUUUGUAAAAUAAAAGCAAAGACCUGAUUGGCUAAUGCCACCUGUUAAUACAUCAGCCCUUAUACACAGGAGCCCCAUAGAAUCGGAACCUACAGGAAAAUCUGAUCCAACAACCGGUGCCAUAGCUUGACUGAUCCCCUUUAAUCAGCCACUGGACCCCCACCAUGUUCACAGUGUAAUGCAAUUACCCAACAUUCAGUGCUCAUAUCAUUGUACCUUGGCCAAGCCCUACAAACCCAGGACUCUACCCUACACAUCCCUAGUGUCCCAAAGCCCCAUGGCCCUACAGCUACAUUCAAGUGUGACAUUCCCAAGCCUGGAGAAUAGAACUGGGACAGAACCCAAUCUUAGGACAAGUCAUUGGGCAGAAAACACAAACAGUAUAAUUUGUCUUUGGCAACUUUGGUCCAACUACCCAGACUACAACCAGGGCACCAUAAGACUCUGUGCAUUCCCAUUCCUACAGUAUAAAAUAGAUCCCACUGGAUUCCCCUUGUUGCCCGUAGCCUUUCCAUUGUUCCUCAGCUUUGUGCAACUUCUCCUCUCAUCUAUUGUAGCUCUCGGGAUGUUAAAUUGCACCUGGCAAGAUUUCAGUCAGUUGGGAGGUUCUAUAGGAGUCGUGUCUGGCAGUGAGUGGGGCGGGUGGAGGUUAAGGGAGGUGGUUCUGAAAGGAAAUGAAUUUAGAGGGAAGUCCCACAGUCCAACUCAAGCUUCAGGCUCAUCAGAGAGAGAUGGGGAGACAGAUCCUGUGGCUUUUCCUCAUCAGUGCCCUGAAAUGUCUGUGUCAGGGGGUUGUGGUGACUCAGGAGAAGAAGCUCAUUGUGGCCCAUCAUGGAAAGUCGCUGGCCAUUCCCUGUCAACAUGAUGCCACUGACUAUCUCAAUAUGCUCUGGUACCAGCAGAGGCCGGGGAAGGAACUGAAGCUCUUGGCUAUAUCAGCGGGCAAGGGAGAUACCACCAUAGAGAAUGAAUUCAAGGGCAAAUGGACAAUGGAAAGGCCUGAUGUUCUGAACUCAACCCUGAACAGAGAUAAAGUGGAUGGAGAAGACUCAGCAGUUUAUUAUUGUGCUUCCAGCCAACACAGAGACAGAAGAAGAAGUCUCAGCCGACACAAAACACCAAUUAUCUGCUCUCAAAGUCUCCAGCAGGAGGCGCCCUCCAACUUUCUGUCUCUCCCACGUGUCCUGAGCUGGACCAAAAACAAUAAUGAUGUAUGAUGAAUGAAUAGUUCAUAUAAAUCAGUAUUUAUUAGUAAUAAAUGAAGGUAUUAUUACAUAUAGUUAUGGCCAGUGAAUCUGUUAUUUCAAUAUUAUAUUCAUUAUUCUACAUGAAUUCACUAAUAAUACAUUUAUUUUUCCCAAUGCACUGACUUUCCAUGUGGGAAGAGAUUUGGUCGUUAUCCCCCAUUGGUACCGUGAUGUACUGACCAGGACUGGUUGAUCUCUGACCUUAUUGAUCGUUAUUGGUUAUUGAUUGAGUAUUUCAGCACCUGCACAGCCCCAGUAUCUUCAGACACUUUCAUUCUGAUGCCAAAAUAAGGGCCCAAAUAAGUUUCUUGUUCACUCUAUUUAGUAACAAUCUGCUUAAUGACCUCCCACCCAUUGCUACAUAAGAAAAUUG